CCUCCCAGACCAGGUGGUUGAGGAUUAAAUGCCGUUCUGAACAGAAGCUUUGUUGGGCACCUUCCGUGUGCAGGCUCUGAUCUAUGCUCUGGGGAAACAGCAGAGACCAAAAUGGACAAGGCCCUAACUCAGGGUGCUUAGAGAGAACAGCCAGGAAAGACUUCUGUUGCCUGGGCCAGCUCAGACAACCCUAAGGCCUGUGAAAUGAGGAAACUGAGCCUGAGCAUGGAAUUUACAAUCAGCAAGACAUUCCUACGUAAUACACACCCUGUCAUCCAUCUCUAAAUUCAUCUGCCUGGAGAUGAGUAAGAAAGGACCACCUUGCUCCUCUGACCGGUUCUUGAGCUAUUGGCUGUCGGCUGAAAAUUCGCUCUUCUAGGUGCUACUUUUUGCAAAAGGUCAACCACGUCGUGGACCAGUGUGAUGUCUGUUACAAUGAAAACAAGAUCAAGAAUCUCUGAAGACUCUAUUGUGGCAAAAAGCAGGAGAGCUGGCGCGGGCUUGAGGCAACACCGUGAGCAGUAAGAGCAAACUGCUUCCUACAGUCCUUGCAAAUUGGUCUAGAAGAAAUACAGCAUCUGCCAGGUCAACAGCUACAUACGAGGUGUCAGGGCGUUUGCUGAGAUGCUCAAGCUAAGAUAAUGUGUCUGGAACGGCAGCUACGAUUGAAGGCACCAUCUGAUUAGGUUGGUAGUAAUCCACAGUCAUUCUCCAAGAACCAUCUGCCUCUGCGUAGGCCAAACAGGCAAGUUAAAUGGAGACGUGAUUGGACCCCCCAGCCCUGCGCCUUUCAAGUCUUUGAGGUGUUGCUAGUCUCUGCAGUUCACCCAAAAAUCCUCUCCCGGCUAGGAAGGAAGUUACCAUAGAGCUGCAUUUAGGUCUUACUACUCUAAUGGCUUUUUGUCCAUGAGUCCAUCCAGCUGCAAAGGAACUUGGGAAACAGCAUGAGGUGGAUCUACAGACCUACGGGUCCACUGUGAUUUCAACUUGGGUCAAAAUUCCAUUUAUUACCUGAUCUCUCUAAAAACAAUUAGACAAGAGGCCAUUACUCGCCAUUGUGGUGGUUCCCGGCCGCCAGAUCUUUUUCUGUUAUAUAAUUCCAAUAACAUUACAGUUCAUUGCCCAUCUAUUUCAUUUCUAAGAACACCAUGAUGAAUAAGCCAUGAAAAGGUUUCCUGAGACGUUCUGAUCACCUCUUCGUUUCUCUUGGAAAAUCUGGUAAGCAGCCCCAUCUCGUCUUUGGGGGAUAAAUGCUGUCACUUGUCCUCAUCCCCACUGACGUCUCCCAUCUGGUGUCUCCCUCUGGCAUCUCCCUCUGGCAUCUCCACCGUCACGUCUUGCCUACUGAGAACAGCUACUUAUGGAUUUUCAAGGACACAGGUGCCCCCUCACUACCAUGUCCCUCGAUGCCUUAGUGAACAGAGUGUCACCAGACCCUUUUGGAGCACGUGGUGCAGUAGAAGGAGUGGCUGCGUGUAUCAUUCGUGAUAAAGUCACUCCAACAUCCUGAUGUCCCUAAGCCUUUGGGUUUCUUCCUUUGCAUUUUGCAAGGAACAUUCUGUUAUCCCAACCUCAUUAAAUGAGGGCCGCCAUUGAGACCAAGUGUGGUCACCAACCAAGUAAACAGCCCCUUCCAGCCGAGUGAGCUAACCAUUAAAUUAGAAUCCCUACUAAGUGCGCCCGUAUCAAAACUUCACCUUGACCCCGUGUGACAUCCUGUCCUCCUUAGUCUGAGCCUCUGAGAAUCUCUUCCUGCAUGUUCUCCCCAGCUGCCUGCCAAUGUCACUCAGCAAAAUCCUGCAGUCACUUUGCUGUUUAUGUUGCUUCCUCCCGGGUCAGACUUUGUGCUUGUCCGCCUGGAACGUGCUGACAUCUGACCCUCGUUUAGUAGCAACAAGGGCAGUUGGGGUGGCGUUUGAGGGGCAUAGGUAGCCGCUUGCGAGGAGACCUUGUCAUAACCUUGUAGGGAGACCUGGCAGGAGGCUGCCUCUGCUUAGUUCUACUUGCUUCUCUUUGGUUCCUGUUCCUUUAUUUCGCAGUUUGUGUGAUUUCCAAUGCCCACUAUGAGAGCAGACACAUAGAAGAUGCACAAUAAAUAUAUUUGGGAUGGAUUAAUAAAAACAUUUUAAGGGUAAGGGCCAAGCAUUUGGAAUUCUAUUUUAUUUUUUAAUUUGUAAUAAAGCAACUGUCAAAAUUUAGCCUCUGUCUCCAGUUAAACCUCCUUUAAACAGAAGACCCAGUUGUCCAGCUCCUCAUAAGCCACAUCUUGGGCUAAUGAGAAGCCCCACAGGGCAGACUCAGGCCUGAUGUCACCAAACCUUCACAUCUGGAACAUGAUUCUUGGCAUCCAAUACAUGCUCAGUAAAUGUCAGCUGGAUAAAUGAAUGAAUGAAUGAACGUGGGGCAUUGCCUCAAGAGGCCUCUUCCUGAACCAUCCAUCUUGGUUGGGUAUUGGUCGCGCCUCGCCCACCCGCUGUCUUCUCUGCCUUGUGCUCAGAGAUAGACUGAUCUUUCAUUCCCACCAGCGAAUUCUCUCCCAGUCGUAACCUGAUGCAGUUCUAUGACCAACAGGUGGCAGGCCAUGAGUGUGGUGGGUUCCACUAUCACGUCUCAGGGCUAAAGGCAGACCCAGCCGUGCCUCAGUGGGCCUCUUUGAGCCCUGAGGCCUCUCCAUGGAGCUCCUUCCCAGACACCCACUGUGACUCAUGGCAGCUCAGGGGCUGUGCUCAGGCCAUACGUUUGACUUCACGGGCGCCUCGCCCAUUGCGACUCCUGGCCUUCAAUCUCCACUCAACUCUGACGUGGUUCUGGCACCAGGAAGUCACGAGUUUCAGAUUGCAGGCCCUCUUCCCAGCCCCAGGAUGUGAAUCUUGAUGGAUUCAAGCCAGUAGUGUUAAUCCUGGUGGACUCAACGACCUCUCAAAAGAAGAAAUAUCCUUAACGACCUCUCUACCGCCCUGCAAUGAAAGUCAUAAAUAAUUUACCUAUAACAUCACAUGUACUUAAAAAUCCAUUAUAAUGCUCUAAGUGGAUUACAAAAAGGAAAUAAAAGGAAAAUAAUUUGUCAUAAAAUCAGUCAUAUUUCAGUAUGCAAAUGAGCAGGCACAGACACGAGGAGACACGAUGGAUAGCUGGAUCCUUGCCGACAUCUGGAGAAUAAGUUUGGGUAUGAGAGUAGGAGCAGAGUCGCCCCACAACAGAAGGGCAGAAAAAUGAAAGAGACACUUGAAUAUCAAUAGUGCAUUCAGUACACAUUAAAAUCUCGCGCACAUAUUUUGUUUUGAUAUAAAGUUGACAUAGGUUCUAGGCUAAGAUGAUUAAAAUGGCUCUUCACACAUGUGAGUGCCCCGUCUGUCUUGUGUAGACUGUUCUACCCAAUGUAGGCUAUUCACCAUGCCUGGCCCCUCCCUCCUAAAUGCCAGGAAGGUCACCGAUCAUUGAGACAAGCCAAAACACCCCCUAUUUCCAACGUGUCCCCAGGGGGUGUACCUCUUUGGUGGAGGACCACUGGCCACCCACGAUCAGCCCAUCUCCUCCGCUGGCAACUGGUCCAGGAGCAAGCACGGGAUGCAAUUGUGGCCGAAGGCACAUGAGAGAAAAUCUGCUGGGGCUUCUGGGAAAGGUUUCUGGUCCUCUAAAGAGGCAGAAGGAAGAAACACAUCCCCUUCUCCUUCUGCCUCCGGGCGAGGUCGCAUCGGAUGCGAUGCCUGGAGCUGCGCAGCCUUCCUGCAGCCGUCCAGGUGACAGCCUGAGAAUCAAGCCAGUGAGGAGCAGACAGCUCAGCGGGGAGCUGGAAGGAACCUGGUCCUCGAUGAGCCAGCCGAGCCGAGAGCUGCCUGGAACACCCCCUGAUUCCUUGGCUUACGAAGUAAUAGACUGUCUCUAUUACUUAGCUACUUGUUUGGGAGUGUUCUGUCUCUUGAAGCCAAAAAUAUCCCAUCUGUGACAGGUAGGGACAGUUUUGCUCAUUACCAUAAUCCCUUCUAUUUGGUGGCAAAGACUGUAAUUUACAAGGCACCAGAGCGACAUUCAUGUCAUCUGAACCUGGCACCCCUGUGAGGUGGGGUCACGAUCCCCAUUCACAAAUAGGAACAUUGAGGCCAAGGAGGAGGGAGAGACUCCCCAGCGUGAGACCCACAGGCAGUGGCCGAGCUGGAACUUGGCCCUGGUCCUUGCUGAGUCCCCUGCAGAGCUCCCUGCCAUCCCGCGCUGCACGCAGGAGGCCUUCUCGACUCUGUGACUUGAUGCCUCCUCCAGGCCCCCAGGCCCUGAAUCUCCACAGCCCCUCAUCGCCGUCACUUUACACUAUUAUUGGGGUGACUUCCCCAAAUUACAAGCCUGAGUCUCUAACACUCCUCAUGAAAAUAUGCAUAGCUCAUCUUGAAAGAACUAAUACAUAUUCAUUAGCACAAAUAAGUUCUCUGUUGGUUCUCAGAUGUGGCAGGCUUUGAAAGAAAUGGGACAUGCGACAGGGAAGUUUUGAGCUGAGUCUAGUCCUGGUACCAGAAUGAGUUUUCAUUCCUUCCUUCCUUCGUCCUACCCUCGCUCACUCAGUGCACACUUAGCGAGCCCUGUGUUCUCGAUACUGUGCUAUCUCUUGGAGUCUCAGACUCGGGCCAGCCGCAGCCCUGCCCCUUGGAGCUGGCCUCCUAGUGGGAAGAGACAGCGGAUACUCACGUGAGUAAGAUGAUCAGGGAUCUGACAAACCCCAUGAAGGAAACAGUACAGCACGAUAGAACGGGAAGUGACUCCACAGGAGGCAGGGGCUCC